rnacentral:rRNA from 1 species
UAGGGAAUCUUCCACAAUGGACGCAAGUCUGAUGGAGCAACGCCGCGUGAGUGAAGAAGGUCUUCGGAUCGUAAAGCUCUGUUGUUGGUGAAGAAGGAUAGAGGCAGUAACUGGUCUUUAUUUGACGGUAAUCAACCAGAAAGUCACGGCUAACUACGUGCCAGCAGCCGCGGUAAUACGUAGGUGGCAAGCGUUGUCCGGAUUUAUUGGGCGUAAAGCGAGCGCAGGCGGAAUGAUAAGUCUGAUGUGAAAGCCCACGGCUCAACCGUGGAACUGCAUCGGAAACUGUCAUUCUUGAGUGCAGAAGAGGAGAGUGGAACUCCAUGUGUAGCGGUGGAAUGCGUAGAUAUAUGGAAGAACACCAGUGGCGAAGGCGGCUCUCUGGUCUGCAACUGACGCUGAGGCUCGAAAGCAUGGGUAGCGAACAGGAUUAGAUACCCUGGUAGUCCAUGCCGUAAACGAUGAGCGCUAGGUGUUGGGGACUUUCCGGUCCUCAGUGCCGCAGCAAACGCAUUAAGCGCUCCGCCUGGGGAGUACGACCGCAAGGUUGAA